GGGGCCGUAGCCAAGUGGCUAAGGCAAUGGAUUGCAAAUCCAUCACGCGUGGGUUCAACUCCCACCGGCCCCU
rnacentral:tRNA from 1 species